UACGUAGGGGGGCAAGCGUUGUCCGGAUUUAUUGGGCGUAAAAAGCGUGUAGGCGGUUAGGUAGGUCCGUUGUGAAAACUCGAGGCUCAACCUCGAGACGCCGAUGGAAACCAUCUGACUAGAGUCCGGAAGAGGAGAGUGGAAUUCCUGGUGUAGCGGUGAAAUGCGCAGAUAUCAGGAAGAACACCCGUGGCUAAGGCGGCUCUCUAGUACGGUACUGACGCUGAGACGCGAAAGCGUGGGGAGCGAACAGG
rnacentral:rRNA from 1 species